rnacentral:rRNA from 1 species
GACGAACGCUGGCGGCGUGCUUAACACAUGCAAGUCGAACGGUGAAAGCGGAGCUUGCUCCGCUGGAUCAGUGGCGAACGGGUGAGUAACACGUGGGCAACCUGCCCCUCACUUCGGGAUAACUCCGGGAAACCGGGGCUAAUACCGGACAUGACCUCCUUGGGCAUCCUUGGCGGUGGAAAGUUUUUCGGUGAGGGAUGGGCCCGCGGCCUAUCAGCUUGUUGGUGAGGUAGUGGCUCACCAAGGCGACGACGGGUAGCCGGCCUGAGAGGGCGACCGGCCACACUGGGACUGAGACACGGCCCAGACUCCUACGGGAGGCAGCAGUGGGGAAUAUUGCGCAAUGGGCGAAAGCCUGACGCAGCAACGCCGCGUGCGGGAUGACGGCCUUCGGGUUGUAAACCGCUUUCAGCAGGGAAGAAGCCGCAAGGUGACGGUACCUGCAGAAGAAGCACCGGCUAACUACGUGCCAGCAGCCGCCGUAA